UGCGUGGAAUCCUGAUACGGGCACGCUUAUCAUACUUUGAGAUUCCAAAAAUCUUUUCGUGUUACUUUUACAGACGGAGUAUUUUAUCAGGCACAGGACACAAAAACAAAAGUCACGAUAAGUGUUAUGGAAUAAACCACAGUCUUUCUUCUUCUGUACACUAAUACCGAAAGGAGUGCAUUUAAAAAUCAACACCCAAAACUCAAUAUGGAAUUAAACGAAAACAAAGGUCAAAUGAAGAUUUUUCCUGUUAAUUUGCAAAAAAAAAAAAAGAUCAACACUUUUUAAUGCUGCAGGUGCUAGCUGAAGUUUUCUCUCAAACUAAACAGAAAACAACAACAUGCCCCUGCUAGCUUAAUGUGAACAAGACAAAACGUUGCGGUUAUUGGAUGCCUUGUGCCUUAUCCUGUCUUUGACUGUUUCCCGAUCUCCCCCCCCCCUGCAUGAAUCCCCAAAGACCAACAGGUGCAUGUUUCCGUGGUAAACUGUGAAAAUGUGCACUUCUCAACUGGUAACAUGCUAGUUUAUAUUGUAAUGAACACUCCAGAUCAUUCCGUUCAUGGCAUCAGUUAUGUUCGUAUAUCUUGGGGAAAAAAAAUCAUGAUUGAGGUGAUUCGUUUCUUGACUUGAGCGGGCGGAUCGUUGGCUGAAUAUACGACAGACAAACAAAAGAGUGAGGAAUGAAAGCGCUGGUUUGAGACUGGGGCCGCAGGCAACAUCUGGCACCAAAUUAGCUUCAAUUAAUUCUUGCAUUCACUGAGUUUGGCUUGUCAGAUUAAAAAAAAUAAAAAAUAGACAGACGCAGUGAGGAAAGUUCUCAUUUCAGACGAUUCCUGAAGGCCACCUGACAUGGACCUGAUUAUUCUAAGUGUGGCCUUCAGUGUCAGUCUGAAAUCAGAGAUACAGCCAUCCAUCGAUGUGCAGCGAUGGCAUCAGGAAAAUGCGGAUUUUUUUUGACUGAUCCUGAAAACAUCGUGUUACAGUUACAUAAAGUGUGCUGCCUUCAGGGUGAGCUCGAAAUCAGAGCGACAUCAUCCCUCUCCUUAGACAGAUAGCCAGCCACCUCGGCAACGUGAGGAUAGGACUGAAUUCUGACUGGCAUCGAAGGCAACACGAAACAUACGCCGGAUUACAGUAGCUUGAAAUGUGGCGUUGCCUUCAGUGACGGUCUGAAAUCACAGUCAUGUCUAGUUUGGGAGACAGACACGUUUGACCUGCUAUAGAAUCAUAAUAUGCACUCGUUUCUGUGUCACCAUCAUUUGACGACUUUUCCAACCUUGUUUUCGUUCCCGAAACCAGGUGUGUUACUUCGGUCUGAAACUUGCGGGUCGAUGAAUGCAGCGCCUGAAAUCAGGCCGUCAGAAUGCGGAACCGGUCAACUAGGGUGGAGGAAAAUAAUUGUCGCACAAUUCCGAUGGACAGAGAAGAAAGGUGCUCAGGGGUAAAAACUGACAAAACUGAAGGCGAUGACCUACGGCAGCAUUUGGAUGAUGAGGUGGGGAGACUGGGAAGAAGCGCAACAGCAGAUGCGAGAUCUGAGGUCCAGCGGUACCUGGCAGAGGGGAAUAUUAUUGGAGGAACCAACACACUACUUUUCCAAACCUCUCCCACCUCGCAAAGGAGUUCCUCUGUAC